AAUAUUUAGCGACGUACGUUUGAUCUUCAGCGAAGAACUCCUUCCGCCGCGGUAAUAAUAAAUUAUAACCUCACUGUAUGUUUGUAUAUGUAGCGUUAUUUAAAUGUAAGAGAAACGAAAAAGAAGAAAAAAAAAAAAAAAAAGGAAAAAAAAUGAUCGUGACUCGUGCAAGCCUCUCCUUCACGUCCAGUGGCAGAGAUCGUUGUGUAUGCUUUCGGGUAUGAUCGAGUCGAUCUCGAUUUUCGUCUACGGAAAAAUACAAAAUAUCUCCCUCCAUUUGUUGAACAGACGAUAUUUUUCAGAGUUGAACUUGUUCGGAAUAAAGCAUGCCCGCGUAUAUAAUGGCUUCACAGUUUUUCGUGUCGGGAAGAAAGAGAGGAAAGAUAUAUAGAGGCGUGGUGUUGAGACGAAUAAAAGAAUAGAAAGAAAAAAAGGAGAAAAGGGGAAAUAAAGAACAAGAAAAAGAAAAUAAAUAAAUAUGUCCUGGUUCGUAAUUAUCGGCAGAAAUAAGUUAGAGAUGGAUUAAGAAGCGAGAGAGAGAGAGAGAGAAAAUAAAAUGUUGGCUUAAUUAUCGUGUAAGGAAAUAUUGCAGAAAUGAAGUGUUAUAUUUUAAACGAGUUUCAAUAUUGCCCUAAAUGUGUCUUGUAUAGAUAUUAUAUUAUAUGCUGUUAUACCGAGAGAUAAAAGGUACAUACAGAAUAUAUGUAUAGAAGAAAAAUAUACAAGGUGUUUAAUAUAUUUGUGGAACGUCUUUGGAGUUGGUCAAUUUUAAUAAAGGUUAUAAACGUAAAAAUAUUGGUAUAACGGAGGCAAGACAAAGACAAAGAGGGGAUGGUUCUAUCUUCGUCUUAUUUCGUCUGAUACGAAAUUAAAUUGUUUUUGUAACUUAAUAAAUAAAUUUGG